rnacentral:lncRNA from 1 species
CCUGCUGGGCUUUUCUCCGACCACGGAGACAGGGAGAACUGCAGGGGCUGUCAGGACUCCAGGGUUCCACUGUCCCCUUGCCCUGCCUAGAGAGUGCCAAGGGGUGUGACUGUGAUGAUUCCUUCCAACUGCAUGCAGGGGACAAAACAGCCUUGUCACGCCGCAAAAACAGAGCGAUGUUCGCGUAUCCCACCAUGAACUCCUGGCUUGGGCCGGUGGGUGGCUCUGGGCUCUGUUAGCGGAGUCUGCUUCCCACCCCGUACAGAGGGAUGUCACCUACCUCUGUCAUCUGCUGUGGUGACACUGACGGUCAGGUUCUGAGGAGGAUCUGGAAGGACAGACACAGGGAGGGUCAGGUGCAAAGUUGGCCUGUGGUCCUUAACAGCACCCCAGGAACCCAGAGACAGAGCAGGAAGCAGGGCAGAAGAGGUGGUGUCCACCCUUGGCUUCCUGUCCCAGCACUCACAGGACACACUGAGCUGCACAGUCCUCUCCCUGGUCACACCAGCCUGAGGGAAGGUCACCCGACAGGAGACUCUGCGGCUAGUCAGGCACCAGCUACUGGGGAGAAGAGGCGGAGGCACGGGGCUGGGACCCUCGAGGGCGCGACACUGCGAUCUGCAGCUCUGAGGGUGCCAUCGUGAGACCCUUCACAGUUUUGUGUUUGCAUCUGUGUUCGGAGCUGAAGACCGACAGCGGAGUGGAACCCGAAAGGCUGCUUUGGAACCGGAUCUCAGGAGUCCGCACUGCUCCACCUCCUCACCUCCUCCUUCCCAGAGAGCUUCUUGGCCCCACCGCAGCUCCUGUUACCCGAGUACCCUGAGCACAUUUAGGGGUCUGCCCUGCCCACCCUGAGCCCCAGAUUCUUUAAGGCUGAAGGAUGGGAUGUUAACAAGCAAAAUAAGUAAAAUGAUAUGGAUUUUAGCGUGCAGCUCAGUGGUACCGUGAUCGCCCCCCAUGUAUGAGGCCCUGGUCCCAUCCCAGCACCAAAAAAUCUAACAAAUAAGAAAUCUGCCAUGAAUAAAUCCUGUUCUGUGCACAGAUAUGAAUGUUCCUCAGCCACCAAAGGGAAUGGAGUCUGCUAUGUUAUAAAACUAGAAAACACGACCCUGAGUAGGCGAAGACAGACAGAUAAUGCAAGAAUCCGGUCCUGUGAAAUAUGCAGAUUAGGUAAAGUCCUCAGAGACAGAAAGUAGGUUAGAGGCUCCCCGGGGAAGGGAGAGACUGAGGAGCAGGAGCAGAAAUGGCUUCCUGCUGGAGAUUUUCUGUCUGGACCUAGGGUGCAGCCAAGGCUGCCUACGCAGGGGCACGUCCUUUGUGCUGGUGAGUUCGCACUCCAGAUGGUUACAAUGGCAAAUUUUACACUGUGUCUGUUUCAUCACAAUUCAUUUCACUUU